UAUUCACGCCCCUCUAAGCUUAAACCAAUAUCCAACCUAGUACUUAUUUUCCUUAUGACAUUCAUAUGACUUGUAUCAAACCUUGUCAGUCGUGCAAACCCGGUCAUCUAAAGAGUUUCUCCCUUUUAAUCUCUCUCAUAGAGAUUCAAUUAAGAUAAUACAACAUACAUGAUAUGCAUAAAUAAAUAAUACAUGACACGGGUGAAACAAUGCAAUGUUGGCAAUAUUUUACAUAUAAAGUAUGGAUGCCGUUUCAAAUCUACAUAAACCUACUUCAUUUAAGAAUUAAAUAAUGUCUACUCUCUAUACUUAUAGGGUGCUAACGUUUCAGUCCCUCAUGUUUGAAUUUCACCCAAUUGCUCAUCCAACUCUCAAUUUUCUCACAAUAAGUCCCUGUCAUCAAGCUCUGUCCCAAUUGUCUGUGAAGUUGCAGACGUGGCAACCUUGAGUCAACACAGGGCACCACGUGGAUUGUAAAAUAUCGAAAAUAACCUUGCCUCUAUUAUGGUGGUUACGAUAUGAUAUACCCCAAACCCAGUUCCUAAACUCCCAAAAAACCCUAAAAUUCAAAUUUGUGAAAAUGGAACCAAGCUCUUCUCCAUGAUCCCACAAACCCAGAAUCUGAUAUCGUUGAAAAUCCAAAACCCUAAUUCAUAAUCGGAUUAUCAAUCAUCCAUUGUUGGGCAGCACACCGCAACCCGAGUCGAAGAAGAGACCAACGUUGUGUGGCAGCGACAUGAUCGUGAACUACGCUGAUUUGUGGGUUCCUAGAGCUGCAGACGAGGAGAACGAGAAUGAUAAAAUCCUUAAUUAUGUGCUAGGGUUUGAAGAUGGCAAUGAGGAUGGGGAUUAUGACCCCAAAGAAAAUGAUGAGGAGUAUGAUCAUGAACAAUAUAGGGAUGAAUGGAUGGAGGGAGUUAUGCAUGAAGGUGCUAUACACAAUGAAGAUAGUAGUAAAAGGUCAAGAGUCCAAGAAGAUAUAAGAGAGUUUGUAAUAAUGAGGACAGGUUUGGUUAUGAAGAUUUAGACCAUGAAAGGUUCGGUUUUACAAAAUUCUGAUGGGGAAACUGAAGAUGAAGGACUUGAAUUCAAUCCCAAAUCUGACAUGAAGAAACCAGAUUUUAGACUGAAACAGAUGUUUGCCACAGUUCGAGUCUUGAGAGAUGCAUUGAGGGAGCAUGUUAUUCAAGGUGGCUGGGAGUAUGUCUUCAUCAAGAAUGAUAAGACAAGGUUGAGAGUUGUGUGCAAGGAGCACAAUAGUCCCUUCUUUAUGUUUACUUCCAAAAUGUAGCAUGAGAGCACUCUCAUGAUCAAGGGUUAUGAGCCUCCACAAAAAUGCACAAAGAAGUUCAAUAACAACAUGGUUAAGCUUAGAUAUUUGAUAGCAAAGUUUAAAGAUCAUAUUGCUCUCAAUGAGAGUGUGAAGCCAGAAUCUCUUGCUAAGACAACAUCAACAAGCAUUAGAGUAAUGGUUUCAUAGUCAAUGGCAUAUAGAGCUAAAAGGGCUGCUCUGUUGGAAUUUGACGAUAGCACAAGUGAGCAUUAUGCAAGGCUAAGUGAUUAUGGAACAGAGCUUCAAAGGGUUGAUCCAACAAUAACUAUUGAUAUUAAAUGUAGUUUCCCUGAGUCAAGCAAGAGACCUGCUUUUAGACGAAUGUAUAUUUGCUUGGGAGCUCUAAAGAAUGGCGUCAAGGAAGGUUGCAGAUCUGUCAUUGGAUUGGAUAUGCACAUCUGAAGGGACCUUUUGGGAGACAACUUUUAAUAGCUAUAACACAUCAUGGGUCGUGGCAUAUGCAACGGUGGAGCUGGAAACCAGAUACAUAAAUCUGGUUUUCGGAGUUAUUAAGGAUCUGAAUAUUGAACAUGAAGGAAGAGGUUGAGUGUUCAUAAGUGAUAAACAGAAAGGUCUUAUACCUGCAUUUGAAGAGGUUGUCCUAAGGGCUCAUAUUAGAUUUUGUGUGAGGCAUAUGUGGACAAACUUCAGCUUUUUCCAAGAAAGUUCAUCAAGGAUCAGAUGUGGGCCUAUGCAAAAGCAACCACCUUGCCUUAUUUUCAUAAACAAAUACAAAGCCUUGAUGUGAUGCUUACAAGUGGAUGACAGGUACUUGAAUAUCUUUCAGUUUCAAUGUUACUUUUUUCUUUACAGCCUCUGAUUUUUAAUCACAACCUAAUUGAUAAUGUUUGCAACACCCGAGAGACCAGCUCGACAUUGGUGUAGGGCUUUCUGUAAGUUUCCAUUUUCAGAAACUCACCCUAGGAUAGAUUUCAGUUUCUUUCAACCGAUCCAGUCCAUUUUAGUUUUCCAGCGAUUUCUCCUCCAUCUAGUGACAGGUUUGGACGCCAUUGGUCACAUUUAAACUGCCUUUCCUUUAUCUACAACUCUGUUGUAGCUUAGUGGUUCGAAUCGAGUUGUGAAUGGCGCAGCAAGGUGGAAAUUGAGGUAACGACACUGUUUCAAGUACAACGUUGGUUCUUCGUACUUCGAUCACCUAUGGCCGCCCCACAAGUCAGGUUUUGAAGUCUUUGAGACGUAUUCCAAUCCCUUCAAGCCUCUUUAUCCAAUUUGAUGUGUGAAGCCCAAAUCGAACAAGUGAAAUUCUAGGAUUUUCAUCGCCGUUUUGAGGUAAGUUCGGACCAAUUGGUUGUGUUUAUGACUUUGUUGUAGUUUUUAAGAAUGGUUGGGGUUGUUGUAAGGAAGAUUUUGACAUAGGUGGUUUCAUCCAAUUUCGGGGUCGGAGACAGCAGCAUGUGGGGCUGAUUUCGGCCUUCUAAUUUAGCUGGUUGGUUUGGUUGUAGAGUGUAGAACUUGUAGAUAUGUGUUUGGUAAAAAUAAGAGAAGGUUUGUUAUAGAUUGGGAAUUUCAGAAGUUCCCAGUGUUUCAGAUUGUUGAUUUACGAAUUGAUGUUAGUGGUUAAUUUUGGGUUGAAUCCGAGAAGUUUGAAGCAAUUAGGUUUCAGGGUUCAAGUUUAAGAUUCGAUUAUUGUUCUUUAUAUUCCAAAUUCCGAAUCAUGAGUUUUUGUUUAUGAUUACCAUUUUGUACAGGACGUGAGGAGAUCCCACUUGAGGAGGGUUCCGAUCAAUGGUAGGAUUAGCCGUAUAUUGUGUCAGAACACUUUCUUUUAAAAAUAUUAUGCGUGCAAUAAUUCUUUUCAUAAAUGAUGGUCUACUUAUUCGAGAUUAUAAUUUGGUUUCGAAAAUGGCUUGUGAUCACUAUACUAGUAAUUGUUUAAUAGACAUUGCUUUAAUAGCAUGCUCAUUUAGGAUUCGUUUUUCUUUUUCUUUUUCUUUUUCAUUCUAACGUUUAUCAUGCUCAAUGGUGUGUUUUUAUUUGAUUAUGUCUCAAUAAGUUGCAGGUGGGAUUGAAACUCUAUCAAUCACAGAAGCCUUUGGGAAAUUUAGGAAGACCAAGUUCUCGAGUUAACUUUGCCAAGACUACAAAUAGGAUGGGUCUUUUUGGUAGAGGAACAAUGCUUCAAGUCUAAGAAGGAGAAGCUGGAAAGUUGUUUAGGACAUGUAAUUUUCUUUUAUGGAUGCUAGUGAGAAAUAAUUGUAUUCUCCUAUGAAUAUUGUUGUAUGCACUAUGAUAAAUAAAUUUGAAUAAAUAUCAGUGUUCUUUGUUUGACGACUAUUGCAACUUCUUACUUGGAACAAA